CCGUGGGGGGCGUCCCUUGCCGCCGCCUCGGGACCCCCCCCCCCCAUCAUACACAGACCGCAAUCACCCCGCCGCCCUCCCCUCGCGAUCUGUGUGUGCCCGGAGUUUCCGCCCCUCCGGGCGAAGUGGGAGUAACGCAAAGGUUAUAGCCGUGCCCUGCGCGGCGCGGAAAGUACCUCGCCGUGCGGGCACGGAAACCCCCGGCCCGGGCUAGGUGCGCGGCCUCGCAGGCUCCUGUCACCGCCUCCCCCCAGGGCGCUGCUCCCGGAGCUGCCGUGGUGUCCCCCAGGCAGGUGACACGCACCUGUGCCUGCCUGACGGGCCCGGGGCCUGUGGCCAUCACCGUGUCACCGCCUCGUUUGUGGUACUACCGAGCAGGUGGCACGGCAAGCCGUAUCCCCAAAUAAUGUGUCAACGCGAUGUGCCAGUCUGUCAGCACAGGGCACAACAUUAUCCUUACAAAUAAAAGGCUGUCAAAGCAUUUUCGGACCCUGUGCCAAGCCUUGCGGCACUGAAAUCAGGAUGGCUUAUCGACUGCAUGUCAAAGGAUCAUGAAUGCUUGAGAAAAUGUCAUUGUAGAAUCUCCAUCCUUGGAGAUAAGUGAAACUCAGCUGAACAACUUCAUGGGCAACCUGAUCUUAUUGGUCAUGUGUUGAACAGAGGGCUGGUUGGGCCUCUUGGAGCUUUUUCUAGCCUAAGUUACUCUAUGAAUUUCUAUGGUGAAAAGUGUUUAAUUCUCUGUUCUUAUAUUGCAUGUAUACCUUGUUUCAUGAAGUGUUAAAAUGGUGCUUUCUUUAUGGUACUUAACUUUGUUUUUCUGCAAACAGGAUGUAAUUGUCUGUCACAGCAUUAGUCCACAGCCUCUCUUUUCAGGAAACAGUUUUGAAAAUGUUGAAUCUGCAAUGAAUGUUCAGUAGAGCUGGUCAAAAAACCCAAAACAUUUCUUACAAAAACCAUGUUCCUUUUUUGGUUGAAUAAUCCCAACCAUCUUUGAUGUGCCAUUUCAUGGGGGAGAAUCCAAACCAAGAUUGUAAAGGGGAGAGUGAUGGUGUUUUACAACUUCUAAUACCAAAACUUUUUAAAAUGAAAAAUGUGAUAGGUGUUCAUUAGCUGGUCAUGUGAUGUCUUAGAUUAUCAUGACAUCUUCAACGCUGUUAAAAACCCCAUAGAAAGCAUUUUGGUAUACUUAAAUUGAUUGCACUUCCCCCCAACUUUUCUACUUUUUCACAUUCCUAUGAGACCCCACUUUGAAUUGCUAUUUUUUUAGUUAAUAAUUUAAAACUUUGCUGGGGCACAGUAAUUUUUCUGAAUUUGGCAGCUUCACUUGGUGUCACUGACAUUAAUGUACAAAUUCCAUUUUUUUGCUAUAUAACUAAAUAAAAGGAUCACAUGCUUGUCUGUCAGAUACAAUUACAUUCGCUAUAGCUUGGGUUCUUUUAAACAAUAUUUGAAUCUAAACUGCAUCUGUUUCGUGUAAAAAAAGUCAGUGUAUGUUUCAAAUCUUUUGUAACCCAUCAGUUUAAAAUGAUGGAGGAAUUCAAAUUCAAUUGCUGUUCCCAAGGAACUGAUUGCCAGGAAGUCAUAGACCCCUCUUCCAGCAAUGUGAACUAUGAACAAUCCACCUAUGCUGUUUUUUUGUUUGUUUUUUUAAUAUUCAGUAAAAUUCUAUG